GCUUACACAUGCAAGUCGAACGAGAAAGCACCUUCGGGUGUGAGUAGAGUGGCGCACGGGUGAGUAACACGUAGGUAAUCUGCCUUUUGGUGGGGGAUAACCAGGAGAAAUCCUGGCUAAUACCGCAUAAGUAAGUAAUUAGAAAGGAUGCUCCGGCAUUCGCCGAAAGAUGAGCCUGCGGGACAUUAGCUUGAUGGUGGGGUAACGGCCUACCAUGGCGACGAUGUCUAGCUGGUCUGAGAGGAUGAUCAGCCACACUGGAACUGAGACACGGUCCAGACUCCUACGGGAGGCAGCAGUGGGGAAUAUUGCGCAAUGGGGGAAACCCUGACGCAGCAACGCCGCGUGAGUGAGGAAGGCCCUAGGGUCGUAAAGCUCUGUCAGAUGGGAAGAAUGGUCAUUGGUCUAAUAGGCCUUUGAUUUGACGGUACCUUCAGAGGAAGCACCGGCUAACUUCGUGCCAGCAGCCGCGGUAAUACGAAGGGUGCAAGCGUUAUUCGGAUUUACUGCGCGUAAAGCGCGCGCAGGCGGAUUGGUAAGUCAGAUGUGAAAUCUCGGGGCUCAACCCCGAAACUGCGUCUGAAACUAUCAAUCU
rnacentral:rRNA from 1 species